AACCUACGGGACGCAGCAGUGGGGAAUAUUGCACAAUGGGGGAAACCCUGAUGCAGCGACGCCGCGUGAGUGAAGAAGUAUUUCGGUACGUAAAGCUCUAUCAGCAGGGAAGAAAAUGACGGUACCUGACUAAGAAGCCCCGGCUAACUACGUGCCAGCAGCCGCGGUAAUACGUAGGGGGCAAGCGCUAUCCGGAUUUACUGGGUGUAAAGGGAGCGUAGACGGCAGCGCAAGUCUGGAGUGAAAUCCCAUGGCUUAACCAUGGAACUGCUCUGGAGACUGUGCAGCUAGAGUGCAGUAGAGGG
rnacentral:rRNA from 1 species